GCCCGCAUGGCUUAGUGGUACAGCGUCGCACUCGUAUGGCCUUUCAUGCAAUGCGAAGAUCCCUAGUUCGAUUCUGGGUGUGGGCA
rfam:Diplodia seriata DS_831_scaffold_v01_77, whole genome shotgun sequence.